rnacentral:rRNA from 1 species
GAUGAACGCUGGCGGCGUGCCUAAUACAUGCAAGUCGAGCGAACAGACGAGGAGCUUGCUCCUCUGACGUUAGCGGCGGACGGGUGAGUAACACGUGGAUAACAUACCUAUAAUACUGGGAUAACUUCGGGGAACCGGAGAUAAUAACGGAUAAUAUAUUGAACGGCAUGGUUCAAUAGUGAAAGACGGCUUUGGCGUCUGUUUUAGAUGAUUCCGCGCCGGAUUAGCUAGUUGGUAAGGUAACGGCUUACCAAGGCAACGAUGCGUAGCCGACCUGAGAGGGUGAUCAGCCACACUGGAACUGAGACACGGUCCAGACUCCUACGGGAGGCAGCAGUAGGGAAUCUUCCGCAAUGGGCGAAAGCCUGACGGAGCAACGCCGCGUGAGUGAUGAAGGUCUUCGGAUCGUAAAACCCUGUUAUUAGGGAAGAACAAAUGUGUAAGUAACUAUGCACGUCUUGACGGUACCUAAUCAGAAAGCCACGGCUAACUACGUG